UGGUGUGUGUAUUUAUAGUGUGUGUCAGUCUGUGCUCUAUGUCGCAUUGUCUGCUUUUCUCUGUGUUAACUGGUAUUCAGUCUGCGUCUCUGCCAACAGUCUCCGUGCAUUUUGCUCCUUCUCCCGUGUGUGUUUGGUUUCAGCCAGUACCUGCAUUUUGGAUCCUUUUCUCGAUACACCACACAACUGCUGCCCCAGCCGUGACAGAAAUGAAGCUUACAGGCCAGCUAAGGCAACAAAAACCUGGCUGUAUUCCUUCAUGGUGUAUCAAAAUGGCCAGAUAUUCAGUUCAACUGCCUGAGGACCAUCUCCCUGGUAAAGCUUGAAGCCUCCAUAUCCAUUAAAGCAAUAUUAG